AACACAAACGCACUGCACCGCAGCUAUAGAUGGUAGAAUAUUUUUUAAUUAUUAAACACGACAACCCACGUUAUGGACAAAUGUUUGACAAAAACGGCCGGAAAACAAAGAAGAAGCGUUGCUGUAAGGAAACAGGCGUUCCGUCUUCUCAAGAAGCUCAUUAAAUUCACCUGUCGCGUCAACUGAAGCCGCAUUACGACGACAGAAAUGUCACCAACAGGUGUCCGUCCGCCGGCUCUAACGCGUCCUUCAGCGACGAACAGGCGAAUCCCCGCGCGAGGUGCUUCAAAUGCCAACUCGUCCUUCUUAUGAAAACAACAAAAACAAGCUUCAGGGGGGAGACGCGGAAAAAAACAACUUUUCGGCCCGUCGGAACUCACCUUGGGACUCGGGAGGAGACGCGUCGCUGCCAUCCUGCUCCGCCAUUUCUCCUGACGUCAGCUGAGCGGGAUCAGCGCGAGGAUGCCGAGUCGGGCCAGGUCCCCUCCCACGGACAGGUGGGGGGACAAGGGGUCACACCUAAUAGCGCAAUACGCCUCUGCUAAUGUGUUCUCCCACGUCACCGGGACGGGGGGGAAAAAACAAAAACUAUUUGCCAUCGCACGUUUGCUUUAACGCACCUUUUAUGCGCUAAUGUGGCCUCACGCGGAUCAUUUGUAUUAGUAUUAUUGGCCGAGCGAUUGAACAUUUAGUCAAUCUAUGUCAAUCUAAAAAAAAAGGAUAUUUGUAGGUCCACUUGGUUGAAAACAGACUGCUUGAUAAACUUGAGAUAGUUCAUCAGGUCUGUGUAAAGUGUCAUGCUGACAUCUAGUGUCCGUGUCGGUAGAACAGAAUGUCUCACCAUUGUCAGGGAUCUCGUGACCUAUAUUUUAGUGUCUGUUCAAGUUUAGCAAAGUGGUCACAAACGGGAUGGGGAAGUAGAACGUUAAUAGCAUUAGCCUUGGUGUCUUAAACGGCAAAUCUUGACAGCAAUUGUCUUCCUAAGCAUAUUUAGAUGCAUGUUUUUAAAUGAGAUUACAUAUGAGACAGAA